AACGAACGCUGGCGGCAGGCCUAACACAUGCAAGUCGAGCGCACCUUCGGGUGAGCGGCGGACGGGUUAGUAACGCGUGGGAACGUGCCCUUUGGUACGGAAUAGCCUCUGGAAACGGAGAGUAAUACCGUAUGAGCCCUUCGGGGGAAAGAUUUAUCGCCAAAGGAUCGGCCCGCGUUAGAUUAGCUAGUUGGUAAGGUAAUGGCUUACCAAGGCGACGAUCAGUAGCCGACCUGAGAGGGUGAUCGGCCACACUGGAACU
rnacentral:rRNA from 1 species